CCUACGGGAGGCAGCAGUGAGGAAUAUUGGUCAAUGGGCGGGAGCCUGAACCAGCCAAGUCGCGUGAGGGAAGACGGUCCUAUGGAUUGUAAACCUCUUUAGGCGGGGAGCAAUGCCGGGCACGCGUGCCCGGAGGGAGAGUACCCGCAGAAUAAGCAUCGGCUAACUCCGUGCCAGCCGCCGCGGUAAUACGGAGGAUGCGAGCGUUAUCCGGAUUUAUUGGGUUAAAAGGGUGCGUAGGCGGAGUUUUAAGUCAGCGGUAAAAUGUCCGGGCUCAACCCGGGCCGGCCGUUGAAACUGGGGAUCUUGAGUGGGCGAGAAGUAUGCGGAAUGCGUGGUGUAGCGGUGAAAUGCAUAGAUAUCACGCAGAACUCCGAUUGCGAAGGCAGCAUACCGGCGCCCGACUGACGCUGAGGCACGAAAGCGUGGGGAUCGAACAGGAUUAGAUACCCUAGUAGUC
rnacentral:rRNA from 1 species